rnacentral:rRNA from 1 species
GGAGUUAGCCGGUGCUUCUUCUGUGAGUGAUGUCCUUCCUGCCGGCUAUUAACCCGCAGGCCUUCUUCCUCACUGAAAGUGCUUUACAACCCGAAGGCCUUCUUCACACACGCGGCAUGGCUGGAUCAGGGUUGCCCCCAUUGUCCAAUAUUCCCCACUGCUGCCUCCCGUAGGAGUCUGGGCCGUGUCUCAGUCCCAGUGUGGCUGAUCAUCCUCUCAGACCAGCUACGGAUCGUCGCCUUGGUGAGCCGUUACCUCACCAACCAGCUAAUCCGACAUAGGCUCAUCCGAUAGCGCGAGGACCGAAGGUCCCCCGCUUUCCCCCGUAGGGCGUAUGCGGUAUUAGCCUGGGUUUCCCCAGGGUUAUCCCCCACUACCGGGCAGAUUCCUAUGCAUUACUCACCCGUCCGCCGCUCGCCACCAGGGAGCAAGCUCCCCGUGCUGCCGCUCGACUUGCAUGUGUUAGGCCUGCCGCCAGCGUUCAAUCUGAGCCAUGAUCAAACUCUGA